CAACUUUCAACAAUGGAUCUCUUGGCUCUCGCAUCGAUGAAGAACGCAGCGAAAUGCGAUAAGUAAUGUGAAUUGCAGAAUUCAGUGAAUCAUCGAAUCUUUGAACGCACCUUGCGCUCCUUGGUAUUCCGAGGAGCAUGCCUGUUUGAGUAUCAUUU
rnacentral:rRNA from 1 species